rnacentral:rRNA from 1 species
UACGUAGGUGGCAAGCGUUGUCCGGAUUUAUUGGGCGUAAAGAGCGUGCAGGCGGCCCGGUAAGUCCGCUGUAAAAGUCAAAGGCUUAACCUUUGAAUGUCAGUGGAUACUGCCGGGCUAGAGUCCGGAAGAGGCGAGUGGAACUCCUGGUGUAGCGGUGGAAUGCGCAGAUAUCAGGAAGAACACCAACGGCGAAGGCAGCUCGCUAGGACGGUACUGACGCUGAGACGCGAAAGCGUGGGGAGCGAACAGG